GAUGAACGCUGGCGGCGUGCCUAAUACAUGCAAGUCGAGCGAACGGACGAGAAGCUUGCUUCUCUGAUGUUAGCGGCGGACGGGUGAGUAACACGUGGAUAACCUACCUAUAAGACUGGGAUAACUUCGGGAAACCGGAGCUAAUACCGGAUAAUAUUUUGAACCGCAUGGUUCAAAAGUGAAAGACGGUCUUGCUGUCACUUAUAGAUGGAUCCGCGCUGCAUUAGCUAGUUGGUAAGGUAACGGCUUACCACGGCAACGAUGCAUAGCCGACCUGAGAGGGUGAUCGGCCACACUGGAACGGAGACACGGUCCAGACUCCUACGGGAGGCAGCAGUAGGGAAUCUUCCGCAAUGGGCGAAAGCCUGACGGAGCAACGCCGCGUGAGUGAUGAAGGUCUUCGGAUCGUAAAACUCUGUUAUUAGGGAAGAACAUAUGUGGAAGUAACUGUGCACAUCUUGACGGUACCUAAUCAGAAAGCCACGGCUAACUACGUG
rnacentral:rRNA from 1 species